UACGGAGGGUGCGAGCGUUGUCCGGAAUCACUGGGCGUAAAGGGCGCGUAGGUGGCCCGUGGAAGUCUGCGGUGAAAGCCCGGCGCUCAACGCCGGGUCGGCCGUGGAUACUCUCGGGCUUGAGCUUACUAGAGGCAGAUGGAAUUCCGGGUGUAGCGGUGGAAUGCGUAGAGAUCCGGAAGAACACCGGUGGCGAAGGCGGUCUGCUGGACCAUAACUGACACUCAGGGACGAAAGCUAGGGGAGCGAAUGGG
rnacentral:rRNA from 1 species